AAUAUAUGGUGAGGGCAUUGGCGUAGAAGUCUUUUGAAUCUAUCACAAACUUCAAAUAAGGAUUCUCCAUCUUUCUACAUGAAGUUGGUGUUAAGAUUCCUCAAGU